GAUGAACGCUAGCGGCAGGCUUAAUACAUGCAAGUCGAGGGGCAGCAUGGUGUAGCAAUACACUGAUGGCGACCGGCAAACGGGUGCGGAACACGUACACAACCUCCCUUCAAGCGGGGCAUAGCCCAGAGAAAUUUGGAUUAAUACCCCAUAGAAUAUUGGAAAGGCAUCUUUUUGAUAUUAAAGAUUUAUCACUUGAAGAUGGGUGUUCGGCUGAUUAGGUAGUUGGCGGGGUAACGGCCCACCAAGCCUUCGAUCAGUAACUGGUGUGAGAGCACCACCAGUCACACGGGCACUGAGACACGGGCCCGACUCCUACGGGAGGCAGCAGUAAGGAAUAUUGGUCAAUGGACGAAAGUCUGAACCAGCCAUGCCGCGUGGAGGAUGAAGGUCCUCUGGAUUGUAAACUUCUUUUAUAUGGGACGAAAAAGGGGCUUUCUAGCUCAACUGACGGCGCCAUAUGAAUAAGCACCGGCUAACUCCGUGCCAGCAGCCGCGGUAAUAC
rnacentral:rRNA from 1 species